UACGUAGGGUGCAAGCGUUGUCCGGAAUUAUUGGGCGUAAAGAGCUCGUAGGCGGUCUGUCGCGUCUGCCGUGAAAACCUGGGGCUCAACCCCGGGCGUGCGGUGGAUACUGCCGGGCUAGAGGGUGGUAGAGGCGAGUGGAAUUCCCGGUGUAGCGGUGAAAUGCGCAGAUAUCGGGAGGAACACCAGUAGCGAAGGCGGCUCGCUGGGCCAUUCCUGACGCUGAGACGCGAAAGCUAGGGGAGCGAACAGG
rnacentral:rRNA from 1 species